rnacentral:rRNA from 1 species
CCCAGUAAACGGCGGCCGUAACUAUAACGGUCCUAAGGUAGCGAAAUUCCUUGUCGGGUAAGUUCCGACCCGCACGAAAGGCGUAACGAUUUGGGCACUGUCUCAACGAGAGACUCGGUGAAAUCAUAGUACCUGUGAAGAUGCAGGUUACCCGCGACAGGACGGAAAGACCCCGUGGAGCUUUACUGUAGCCUGAUAUUGAAAUUCGGCACAGCUUGUACAGGAUAGGUAGGAGCCUUUGAAACGUGAGCGCUAGCUUACGUGGAGGCGCUGGUGGGAUACUACCCUAGCUGUGUUGGCUUUCUAACCCGCACCACUUAUCGUGGUGGGAGACAGUGUCAGGCGGGCAGUUUGACUGGGGCGGUCGCCUCCUAAAAGGUAACGGAGGCGCUCAAAGGUUCCCUCAGAAUGGUUGGAAAUCAUUCAUAGAGUGUAAAGGCAUAAGGGAGCUUGACUGCGAGACCUACAAGUCGAGCAGGGUCGAAAGACGGACUUAGUGAUCCGGUGGUUCCGCAUGGAAGGGCCAUCGCUCAACGGAUAAAAGCUACCCCGGGGAUAACAGGCUUAUCUCCCCCAAGAGUUCACAUCGACGGGGAGGUUUGGCACCUCGAUGUCGGCUCAUCGCAUCCUGGGGCUGUAGUCGGUCCCAAGGGUUGGGCUGUUCGCCCAUUAAAGCGGUACGCGAGCUGGGUUCAGAACGUCGUGAGAC